UACGGAGGGUGCAAGCGUUAUCCGGAUUCACUGGGUUUAAAGGGUGCGUAGGUGGGUUGGUAAGUCAGUGGUGAAAUCUCCAGGCUUAACUUGGAAACUGCCAUUGAUACUAUCAAUCUUGAAUACCGUGGAGGUCAGCGGAAUAUGUCAUGUAGCGGUGAAAUGCUUAGAUAUGACAUAGAACACCAAUUGCGAAGGCAGCUGGCUACACGAAUAUUGACACUGAUGCACGAAAGCGUGGGGGAUCAAACAGG
rnacentral:rRNA from 1 species